GUUUGAUCCUGGCUCAGGAUGAACGCUAGCGACAGGCCUAACACAUGCAAGUCGUGGGGCAGCAUUUCUAGCUCGCUAGAAGAUGGCGACCGGCGCACUGGUGAGCUACGCGUAUGCAACCUACCUUAUACUGGGGGAUAGCCCAAAGAAAUUUGGAUUAAUACCGCAUAACAUAUUUGGAUCGCAUGGUUUAAAUAUUAAAACUCCGGUGGUAUAAGAUGGGCAUGCGUAGCAUUAGUUAGUUGGUGAGGUAACGGCUCACCAAGACAAUGAUGCUUAGGGGGUCUGAGAGGAUAGUCCCCCACACUGGUACUGAGACACGGACCAGACUCCUACGGGAGGCAGCAGUGAGGAAUAUUGGUCAAUGGACGCAAGUCUGAACCAGCCAUGUCGCGUGCAGGAUGACGGCCCUAUGGGUUGUAAACUGCUUUUUUACAGGAAUAAUUGUCUCUACGUGUAGAGAUUUGAAUGUACUGUAUGAAUAAGGAUCGGCUAACUCCGUGCCAGCAGCCGCGGUAAUACGGAGGAUUCGAGCGUUAUCCGGAUUUAUUGGGUUUAAAGGGUCCGUAGGCGGUUCUUUAAGUCAGUGGUGAAAUCCCAGAGCUCAACUCUGGAACUGCCAUUGAAACUGAAGAACUUGAAUAUGGUUGAGGUAGGCGGAAUACGUUAUGUAGCGGUGAAAUGCAUAGAUAUAACGUAGAACACCAAUUGCGAAGGCAGCUUACUAAACCAUUAUUGACGCUGAUGGACGAAAGCGUGGGGAGCGAACAGGAUUAGAUACCCUGGUAGUCCACGCCGUAAACGAUGAUUACUCGUUGUGCACAAUACAUCGUGCGUGACUGAGCGAAAGCAUUAAGUAAUCCACCUGGGGAGUACGUUCGCAAGAAUGAAACUCAAAGGAAUUGACGGGGGCCCGCACAAGCGGAGGAACAUGUGGUUUAAUUCGAUGAUACGCGAGGAACCUUACCUGGACUUAAAUGUAGAUUGACAGGACUAGAGAUAGUUUUUUCUUCGGACAAUUUACAAGGUGCUGCAUGGUUGUCGUCAGCUCGUGCCGUGAGGUGUCGGGUUAAG
rnacentral:rRNA from 1 species